rnacentral:rRNA from 1 species
UCUUGUGGAUCAGUGGCGAACGGGUGAGUAACACGUGAGCAACCUGCCCCGGACUCUGGGAUAAGCGCUGGAAACGGCGUCUAAUACUGGAUAUGAGACGUGAUCGCAUGGUCAACGUUUGGAAAGAUUUUUCGGUCUGGGAUGGGCUCGCGGCCUAUCAGCUUGUUGGUGAGGUAAUGGCUCACCAAGGCGUCGACGGGUAGCCGGCCUGAGAGGGUGACCGGCCACACUGGGACUGAGACACGGCCCAGACUCCUACGGGAGGCAGCAGUGGGGAAUAUUGCACAAUGGGCGAAAGCCUGAUGCAGCAACGCCGCGUGAGGGAUGACGGCCUUCGGGUUGUAAACCUCUUUUAGCAGGGAAGAAGCGAGAGUGACGGUACCUGCAGAAAAAGCGCCGGCUAACUACGUGCCAGCAGCCGCGGUAAUACGUAGGGCGCAAGCGUUAUCCGGAAUUAUUGGGCGUAAAGAGCUCGUAGGCGGUCUGUCGCGUCUGCUGUGAAAUCUGGAGGCUCAACCUCCAGCCUGCAGUGGGUACGGGCAGACUAGAGUGCGGUAGGGGAGAUUGGAAUUCCUGGUGUAGCGGUGGAAUGCGCAGAUAUCAGGAGGAACACCGAUGGCGAAGGCAGAUCUCUGGGCCGUAACUGACGCUGAGGAGCGAAAGGGUGGGGAGCAAACAGGCU